CGAUACUUGGUGUGAAUUGCAGAAUUCAGUGAAUCAUCGAAUCUUUGAACGCACCUUGCGCUCCUUGGUAUUCCGAGGAGCAUGCCUGUUUGAGUGUCAUGGUAUUCUCAACCCACACAUCCUUGUGAUGUUCGUAGGGCUUGGACUUGGAGGCUUGCUGGCCGUCGCGGUCGGCUCCUCUUGAAUGCAUUAGCUUGGUUCCUUGCGGAUCGGCUCUCAGUGUGAUAAUUGUCUACGCUGUGACCGUGAAGCGUUUGGCGAGCUUCUAACCGUCCUGCUAGGGACAAACUUACUUGACAUCUGACCUCAAAUCAGGUAGUUCUACCCGCUGAACUUAAGCAUAUCAAUAAGCGGAGGAA
rnacentral:rRNA from 2 species